UACGAAGGGUGCAAGCGUUACUCGGAAUUACUGGGCGUAAAGGGCGCGUAGGCGGUGUGUCAAGUCAGGCGUGAAAGCCCCGGGCUCAACCUGGGAACCGCGCUUGAGACUGGCACGCUCGAGUUCGGGAGAGGAUGGUGGAAUUCCCAGUGUAGAGGUGAAAUUCGUAGAUAUUGGGAAGAACACCGAUGGCGAAGGCAGCCAUCUGGACCGACACUGACGCUGAGGCGCGAAAGCUAGGGGAGCAAACGGG
rnacentral:rRNA from 1 species